GGGUGGGGGAGCACUACUUGCCUACUUCCAGAAUGAUAAAUCUGGAUGUAGUAUCUGAACAGUGUGAGCAUACUUUACAAGGACCGUUGAGAACCAAGACUCUUCUGGAAACAUCUGUGAUCUAUGGUCCGAGGAUCUGAAGACGGUGAUUAGCUCAGGUUGUGGAGUGACUAAAGAUACUGUCUCCUGGUAAAAUACAGCAAGAUAACCAACCAAUGGUGCCAAUGCUAAGAGGAAAGGGAGUGCUAAGGACAAGUAUGGUUAAGGUAUGAAGGUUUUUAUUGGUAAUUUCUUUUUGCUUU
rnacentral:lncRNA from 12 species